GUGGCCCCAAGUCAGGCGAGG
rnacentral:rRNA from 1 species